UGGCGAACGGGUGAGUAACACGUGAGUAACCUGCCCUUGACUCUGGGAUAAGCCUGGGAAACUGGGUCUAAUACCGGAUAGGAACGUCCACCGCAUGGUGGUUGUUGGAAAGAUUUAUCGGUCAUGGAUGGACUCGCGGCCUAUCAGCUUGUUGGUGAGGUAAUGGCUCACCAAGGCGACGACCGGUA
rnacentral:rRNA from 1 species